rnacentral:rRNA from 1 species
UACGUAGGUGGCGAGCGUUGUUCGGAAUUAUUGGGCGUAAAGGGUUCGUAGGAUGUUCUUUAAGAUUGGUGUGAAAUCCCAAGGCUCAACCUUGGAACUGCAUUGAUGACUGAAGGACUAGAGUAUCGUAGAGGAGAGCGGAAUUCCAGGUGUAGCGGUGGAAUGCGUAGAUAUCUGGAAGAACACCGACAGCGAAGGCAGCUCUCUGGGCGAAGACUGACUCUGAGGAACGAAAGCGUGGGGAUCAAACAGG